UACAGAGGGUGCAAGCGUUAAUCGGAAUUACUGGGCGUAAAGCGUGCGUAGACGGUUAUGUAAGUCAGAUGUGAAAGCCCCGGGCUCAACCUGGGAAUUGCAUUUGAGACUGCAUAGCUAGGGUGCGGAAGAGGGAAGCGGAAUUUCCGGUGUAGCGGUGAAAUGCGUAGAUAUCGGAAGGAACACCAGUGGCGAAAGCGGCUUCCUGGUCCAGCACAGACGUUCAGGCACGAAAGCGUGGGGAGCAAACAGG
rnacentral:rRNA from 1 species